UUACAGCAAUUUCGGCUGGUUCAUCCGGUCUGUUUCACUGCAUUGACGUUACUAAUGUUUAGGUUUUAUUAUACUAGGUCUAUUUGGAUCGGCCUGCAGAACAAAAGGCGUCGCCCCUCAACUUAAGAAAUGCAGAGUCAUGGCACACGAAAGCCUCCAGGAAGGAAAAACGAUCAACUCAACGGAUUUCUACUGGCCACGAUACCGUUAGCAUGGCGGCUAGCUACAUAUCCGGGCCCGUUUAGCUAGUUAAUUGCACCAACAGUUGUUUCCCGCUGGGAGUCCAAUUCUCCACAUAUCCUGUGUUAACUUGCAGCAUUUAGUUGAGAGGCGACAUCGCUUACAAAUUUUUGGUCACCAAGAUUGAACAAAAACGGCCUGUCUGAACCUGGUAGCAGACAAUCGGAACACAAUUGACAUGGACUUUCCACGCGGACAAGAAAACACGCAAAAGGCAGUUCAUACGAGGCUUCAAAAAGAAACCGCCAGCUCGGCCCGCAUGGACACUCCCCGGGCCAGGUGGCGGAGGCAGCAGACAAAGCAGGUCAUUCCAGACGUCCCUCCUCCCAGCAACGCCUUCUAGCUCUUCCUGGGGGAUCUCGAGGCGUUCCCAGGCCAGACGAGAUACAUAAUCCCUCCAGUGAGUUCUGGGUCUGCACUGGGGUCUCCAGUGCAUACCCAUAGCAAAACUUCCAAAGGAAACUUCCCCGGAGGCAUCCAAAUCAGAUGUCCAAACCAACUCAACUGGCUCCUUCCUAUACGAAGGAGCAGCGGCUCUACUCCGAGCUCCCUGCGGAUGUCCGAGCUUCUCAACCUAUCUCUAAGAGUGAGCCCAGCCACCCUGUGCUUUGGCCUAAGGUGCUCUCGUACCAGGUACACUUAUAAGCUACCUUAUGCUCGAACAUGGUGUUUGUUAUGGCCAGUCUAUGGCAAGCACAGAAGUCCAAUAACAAAACACCACUUGGGUUCAGAUUGGACAGGCCGUUCCUCCCAAUCACCCCCCUCCAGGUUCUCUGUCAUUGCCCACGAGAGCGUUGAAGUCCCCCAGGAGAACUAUGGAGUCCCCAUGCAGUACCCCUUCCAGAACACCACACAGACUCCAAGAAGGGCGAAUACUUCGAACUGCUGUUUGGUGCAUAAGCACUGACAACAGUCAGAGUUUUCCUCUCCGACACGCAGCCACAGAGACGCGACCCUCUCAUUCUCCGGGGAGAACUCAAACAAAGCAGCGUUCAGUCGAGGGUUCAUGAGUAUCCUCACACCCGCCCAGUGCCUCCCAUCCUGGCCAACUCCAGAAAAGGUGUGCAUGAAGGUGACCCGUUGUGACAGCUCGGCGCCUCACAAGCCGCUGGACUGAUGAUGUGGUUGUUUUUCCGUCCACUGCCUCAGCGAUGAACUGCUCUCAGAACGAGUGAGUCAACAUGUCAACACCUGGUUAGUUCUUUGACCGCCACACCCCACUGAUAUGAAUACAUGUUUACAGGCCAUAUAUGAAACAACCACAGUUAAAGCUGUCUGCAACCAACCAGCCACACCACAUCUACAGACACGCACACUCACACACACACGCACGCACGCACGCACGCACGCACGCACGCACACACACACACACACACACACACACACGCACACUCACACACACACGCACGCACGCACGCACGCACGCACGCACGCACACACACACACACACACACACACACACACACACACAGGCACCACCUAAGUGGCUGUCAUUUGUAAGUCAAAUGAAUAAUAAAUGGUCCCACUGCAGCAUACAGCACUUUGUUUUCAGGCUUGUUUGACGUAAAUGAAGUUAGAUUUUUUUCUUAAAUCUUUUGUGAUGCCACGGUGAUGAAAAAGUGACACGAUUUAAUGCAACAGACAAUCUCUUUUCUCUCCCUCUUGUUCAGUGGUUCUUACCUGCUAAACUACACUCACCUGCUGCUUUAGGUUCACUUGUGGAAUCUAAUGCAAUCCAAUGCAAGCUGCUGCUUUCUAAAACUUAAAAAAAAAUUAUUUCCAGUUUUUGUUAAUGUUGUCGAAAGGGUGAUGAUUCAACCUUUAUGAGAUUAUAGUGAGUGGUGUUUUGUCCACUGAACGUGGAAUAUUUUUAAAAGUACAAUUUUGCAUUAAAUUACAUUAAACUUCACAGGUUUACCUAAUAAAGUGGCAGGACAGUGUUUUUCUUAUUAUAUGUACAAAAUAAUUUUCUUUUUAAUUAUUUUUUCAGAAUCAGGAAGGUUUUAUUGGUAAAUAGAUUUUCACAUACAAGGAAUCUGACUUGGUGUUUUAGUGCCCAACAGUAAACAGUAGCAUAUAGCUUUUUUAAAAAAUGCUGCCAGUCAGUAGGUACAAGACUGACAAGAAGCAGUGUUAUUAAAAUUAGCAGCAGUAAGUGUAAUCAAGGGUUUAUAAAUCACAAAAAGUCGUAGGAAUACUUGCAGUGUGCAGAAAUGUGCAAUGAGACUGUGCAAGCUAAAGUUUACCAACAUUUUUUAUUUCUUUCACCAUAGUAUACUAUGCAAUAAAAUUCACAUUAACUGCCCUAUUUACACAGUAUAUAGAAAGUCAGAUAUACCGGUGCAAAUGGAGAUCUAGAUUUAAAGAGAUAAUGUGGUAAUCUGUUUCACUGCUCCAUGAUGACAUCUUGUGUCUGUGAGUGUUUACUGCAACUCUGAUUCAUGUGCUGAAGAGCCACUAACAGGAGUAAUGAGUGCAGUGACACACAGAUGGUGCUCUAUAGCCACUGGUGAGAAAAACUUGGCGUUUAUCACCAGGAAUCCUCCGGCAAGAAGCAAAAAGACACAGAAAAAGGGAGAUAGUUGAUGUCAGGUCAUACAGAAUCUGUAAUGUAGAAAGUAACAGGUUGGGCGGCAGCCACUCCUCUAUCAUUUGCCUAUAAGCAGCACAUUUAACAGACAUGAAUUGACUUGAAUUGUAUGGGAGAAAGCCUAUAUGGUAUAGACGGCUUUCCUUUGCAGCAGAUUAAUGUCUAAUUUAGAAAUCCUGAAUACUUCUCUUAAUAAUAUGACACUAAAAAAGUUAUUUUCCAGAUAUUUUAGGACCUUUGCCUGCUUCAAAGCUGAUACUGAUCCACAUCAUCACUUUAUAACCACUCAGUGUUUUGGGGAAACAAACUGCUGGAAUAAUGCCUUGUUUUCUGCAGGAUUAUUGCUCAGGUUUCAGAGCCUCCAAAGGUUGUUGACUUAGAUUUAAAGUGCUAUUCUUUAUAAAUUGAGAAUUCACUAAAAUUUCACCAAUCAGGAGCUGCUUCUUUCUUAGGAUCAUCAUGCAACCUUGAAUUAACAGAGAUGAUGCUGCAAAAUUUGGUUGACAAAUGAAUAAACCUUAUACAUAAAGGUGUAAUCAUUUUUAUGAAAAAAAAAACAGUGCAAAGUAUAAUAUCACAGUUUUCUUUCAGUUGUUUUGGUGACUAGUCUGGUAAAUUCUGUUUACAUUUUAAGCGUUUUAAGCUCAUUUUCUACAACUAAAUUCUUCACCAAAAUGUAAACACUGAAUUUUUAAGUUAAGGAAGAAAGUUUAACAACCAAGCAUCUGUACUUUUCAAGCAGCAGCUUUAUGCCACUUUUUUUUUUUUAGAAAACAACUCAUCAUAUGAGAAAAAUUUCACUUGAUCCAUGCAGAAAUCAUUGAACUUAGCAUUUAGAUGAUUACUAAAAUUGCAUAUUUAGUAGUUUUUUAUUAGGAAAAUGCUCCCUUUUUGUCUUUACAUGGUUAGAUAUAGCUCUACACCGUUGCUUCGCCGCAGCACAAGCACGACAGCUCAAUUAUAACUCUGCUCAAACACUGUAAAACUCCUCCACACAAUAGUGAAGUGGUAAUAUGGGAGUAAUUCAGCCUUACAUGUUUGACUUACCAGUUCAGAUUAAUUGUUGAUCAUUUUCAUACAUGAGGGCCUUUAGGGACCUCCUCCAGGUCUAGUACACUCAGUAAUCAACCCAUUUAAACGGGCUCUGUUAUCAUUUAAUGUCGGUGAAGCCGCAAUUUUGCUCUGAUGCAAAAAAAUAGAAAUCCACUUUUUGAGGGUGGAAGAAUGAGCCAGCAGAUUUUCACUGAGACUGAAAUUUGAGUCCAGUCCUUUUCCUGGGUGAUGACUUCACUGGAGACGUUUACAAGCACUUAUUUACUCGGCUACAAGGAGUCAUUGACAUUAUUGGAGUUACUUUAUAAUCAUCAGCUUUCAGUAUUGAUAAUAAUGUGCCUGCUGAUACACUAGAAGGUGGAGGAGGUCCCUGCUGACUCAUACAUGUGGGAAUGAUCAGUGAUGAUAGUGGUGAUGUAAUGGGCUGAUCACAUCUGAAUCGGGUGUUCGAACUGGAAACUGAUUCUGAAAAACAUAUUAUUAAAAGCCCCACCUUGCAAAUUCACAGGAUUAGUUGCUGAGGUUUGUUAUGUAUGAAAUUCUGACUGAACUGUCUGAAAUGAAACGUAAUCUGCAGUUUCAACGGCUUCAGCUGCUUACUUUACUCAUAAGGUGUCUUCCAGUGUUUAAGAAAAGACCAUAAGGGAACAUUCACAAGGUAGAAAAAACUUUAUUUUUACAAGUGUGGGUCUUUAAAUUUCACCAAAACAUCAAUCAACAAUCAUAAAACACCUGCAAUGAAAAGAUUACCAACAAAUAAUACAAAAUAUGGAAAUUAACUCAAUAGUGGCUGCCACUUACAGCAAAACUGAUAACUGUAACCUGCUGUCUGUGGUAGAAUACCCUACAUUUCCCACAAUGCAAUGAAUAAGUAUUUUCAGCAGAACCUCUUUAUCUAAACAUUCCACACAUUCACCUACCAAAGAUUUAAAGUGACUUUAAAAUGCUCCUUCCUCCAGAGCCACAAAUGACAUUAUAGAACUAUUUUUACAGCCUGAGAGGGAUGCUUUGUGAUGAAAAAAAAUGACUUUAUAAAAUUGAUGGAGGGGUCCUUUAAUCUAAAGGAGCUCUAGCAAUAAACAGUGCAGCAUCACAGAACAUGCUUUGGCCUGCAAAAACUCAGAUUCAGCCAAAAUGUAGUUCUUCCGGUCACUUCCUCUGCACACUGAGCAUACUGUACUCGUCCAGUACGGGUCAGACAUGCUGACCCCCCACUCCCACCUCUCACCUCAACCUGAGCCUCCUGAUGGCCUGGCUGGGCUCGGAGACUCCCAUAAAACAACAUAAGCCCCCUCAAGCCCUGCAAUUAAGAAAUUAAGUCGCUCAGGAUUGAUUGAAAGAUGGAAGCACACCUGCUAGUAUAAACAGAAGGGGAUAUUAUGGCCUGUCAGGUCAAAGGUCAGAGGAUGGAGUUAGUCCUAUUCAUAAGCUGGUAGGAGGACGGGGAGUGGAUGAGAUAACACAAUGAAGAUGUAAAAAGGCAUUUCAGACAUUUUCGACUUUUUUAAAAUUUAGUUUAUUUGACAGAGACUAUGUACAGAAGAACAUUAAACACAAGGUAAAGAUGCUCUGUACCAGAUUAUAAUGUACUCACUAGUUCCAUCUGCAGCCCCUGGGGAAGGCAAGAGAGAAACAAGUAAAGGUAGAAAAGCAAUACAUCACAUUUUUUUUAAAAAAGAAAGGAUCUCACGUUCUCACAUUUACAUGGUGAAGCAAAAUCAUUUCAAGGAAUGUCAGUGCUGACAGGUUCGGUUUCUCCAGAUCCAUUUUUUAGUCUCUUUAGAAAAGUCUUUAAAAUCAGUUGUUGUCUUUAGGUCAGUAGGGAGCUUAUUCCAUUCUGUUACUGCUUUGCAGGAAAAAGACGAUUGUCCAUGGGCAGUUUUAGAUAGAGGAAUACAACACUGCCACCUAGAAGAAGCCCUUGUUGUCCUGGUUGUAUUUCCAGAAGUGCAAUGAAUUAAAAAAACUUGAGAUGUGAGGACACAUAACCAAUCUCACUGAUGAUAUGCAUUGACGGUACAUGCAUCAGUAAUUACUGGCUGUCAUUCAAGUAUCCUGGCUGUGUUAUUUAUGCAUUUUCCACCUAUGUUGCACUGAAUGUAGCUUUAACUAAAUGUACAUCAUAAACAAAACUAUCCAUAUAUGAAGGAUUUGCUCUGAACAUUCCAAACAAGCAAUAGUUAACAUCCUUCAUGUUUAUCUGACUUUGGAAUCUAAACUGCAAGAACAGUAAAUAUAUUUUGCUCCAGGCAACAUCUCUGAAUCAUGGUGGGUGGUGAUGACCCACAUUUCAAGCACUCACAUGUACACAAUCAUUCAAAAGUUUGGGGUCACCCAGGUAAUUUCAUGUUUUCCACGAAAACUCACGGGUUUUCUAAUCAUCAGUUAACCUUUAAACACGAUUAACUGACACAGUGUACCAUUAGAACACAGGAGUGAUGGUUGCUGGAAAUGUUGCUGCUGUUAGUAUAAUAGUCAUUUAACCCCUUUAGCAAUGUCUAGACUGGAUUUCUGAUUAAUUAAUGUUAUCUUAAUUGAAAAAAAAAUGCUGUUCUUUCAAAAAUGAGGACAUUUCUAAGUGACCUCAAACUUUUGGACAGUAGUGUAUAGUAUGUAAGGUUCCCUCUUUCUGUUCACAAACACUGUGUUAUUAUGGCUGCAGACAGACUCAGCUCAAAGACACAAUACAGAUUAAAUGAAUUAAACUGAGAGGGAAAUGACACUAUAGCUUAAAUGACAAAACAGACAAAGACAAACAAAUGAGGAUGAAUAGCUACAGUAAAACUCAUCCAGUGUGGGGCUGUGCAUUUUUCAGCAUCAGGAAACCACAUUAUUUUGAAAUUGUUAUUGUAAUACAGAGUCAAAUAAUUAAUUUGGACUUUUUUGGAAUUUUAAUUUGCAACUGUUGUUAACCAUUGAAAACAACAUCUUGUUUGCAUUCUUACUGGUCAAAAUCUACCUAUUCACAUAUGAUUUUGAGAAAUACAGCAGUUUUUGCAAUGUACGAGUGAAUCUUCAUGGUUUUCACGUCUUUCAAUAGAGCUAGUACAGAGGAUUUGUUUUCUUUGCAACACUGUGUGGCCCCAGUGUUAAAACAAUUUGAUCUAUAAUCAGAUAAUUGACAGCUUAUCUUUGUAGGUUAUCAAAUUCAUAUGGGAAACUUUCAUUAAGUAUUACGCUUUGAGCUAAAUGUUAAAGCCGCAUAACAUUCUUCUGUUCAUUAGGUGUUGCAUUAAUCAUUUAGCUAUUUGAUAUGUACUGGCAUGCCAAAUGUGCAAAUUGCAACGUGCACUGCUGUUGUUGACGGGAUUGUCAUUAGUUUUUGUGUUUUGGUCAUAAGCCAAAGUACCGGACAAACUGAUACUCUGACCUGAUGUUGACCACAGUAUUUUCAUUCAUAUAGAUUUUCAGAUGUCAUACAUGCUGAUAUUUCAAUCUUGAGUGAAGUGGUGAGCUGACAGACCCACAGAGGCACAGAACCCUGCUGAAAAUUGGCUAAAAAUUUAGAUAAAAUUUAAGUUGCUCAGCAUUUUGUCUUGCUUCACAUGAGGUUCAUACAAAUCUCUUCAAUCCAUUUUUUUUUUAUCCUGUUAGCAUGUCCCUAUGGUGUUUUUUAGAAGCCACACAUCAUGAGUGAAACAAGCUGUCAACACCAUGGCUGAACAUUUCUACCAUGAAGUUGUAGAUGACAGUCUCAGAAACAUGUAUUCACCCUUCCACGGUUUCUUAGGAAAACACACCAAAGCAGACAGUCCUGCCUAGUUGUGUGAGUAGUUUUGCUGUGUUUGAGUAGAGCAGUAGGUAGCAUUGGUGGCAUUCUGUGGAGAAUGGGGCAGUGGUAGGUGAAGAUAGAAACAGGGGACUCCAUAAGGUCGUUUUCUACUGCAGGAACUUGUGGACCUGAAUCUUUGUGCAUGUUCCAACCAUAAGACUUGCCCCUGUGGAACUUGUUUCAGGGCUAGUUUCAUGGGAGGGAAAAAAGCUCGAUUGGGUAUAUCUGAGUGGCCCUGAAAAACUGCGCUGUGAGUCUGGCACUGGCAACACUUUGAGAAGACAAAUGCUGAUUGGUUAAACUCUGAGAGGACAACAGGUGAUGUUUUUCUGCCCUCUCGAUGUCCACGUCCAGUAGCAAUCUACUGCUCUCUAACAUCACCAUCAGCGUAAAAGCGUAAAAUUCACUCCAUGGACAAAACCUCCAUCGUCCUGUUACUUCCAUUAACUACCAUUCCUUGUUUUGGUGCAUUCUGAGCUAAUGUCACAGUCAAGGCUGUCAGAUGGAAACAAACAGGCAGAAAAUUCUGAUCAUGGGGUUGUUCCUGUAAACACUCGUGCCACCUUGUGCCUGACCUGAGUUCCUGCUGUGGAAAGCCACUUCUAGAUCGACACUUUCUAUGAUGUAGAGUUCAAAUGUAAGCAAUCAAAAAAUCAUUUUCUUGGAACAAUUUCUUGAUAUCUUCCAAAUAUGUGACUUUAAUACACAAAAGUGACUUGUUAGGGGCCUGGGGGGACUUUAAGAUUCUUGUAACUCAUGAUAGCAAUAACUUUAUAUUUCUGACAUUGUGCGUGUAAUAACUUAAAGAUUAAAAAUGAAAAAAGGAAAAUAAAUAAUGAGAGAUUUUUUAUACUCAUAGCCAGAGGGUCAAAGUCACAUGACACAGCUGCCUUGGGUUAGACGACCUCACAUUUCACUCGAUUCUUGAAGAGCUUUUUAAUGAAUGAUUGUAACUACGUCACAGUGCUGAUUUUGUGUUUCUAGGGCCUGCAGAUAGAGAUGGAUUACAAUGAGAUGAAAAUAUGAAUAGCAACCAUUUUUAAAAUGAAAUAUAAAUUCCAGCUUCUCAUAUUUUAUCAGUCCCUCGUGCUUCUUUUGAUUUCUUAUUAAAUUAACCUACAUCUCAUGUUGUGUCAAUCUGAGACUUGAUGUCACUGGAAGCUGCAACCCAACGAUACGCAAAAUUAUAUGGAUGCAGCUGCUUAGUUUGUGAUUGCUUGUGACCUUAAACUGAUUUGACCUGAACUGAUUUAAUCUACCUGUAUAACUGGAGACAAGUACAGGUUAAAUACUUGGUGCAAACAGGCCCUGACAGGUGAUCACAAACAAACAAUCACACAGCAACAGAUGGAUAUAUGUUUACAGUUACUACAUUUUGAGAUUCCUUUGUUUCCACAUGAGGUGUGGUGAAGCCACAUAAUGUGACACCAGCCAGCCCUACAUGAAACGUCACUUAAAAAAGAUGCACGUACACACAAGUAAAAUGUGCACAGUGGAAGAUUCACAAAAGACUGAUAUAAAUCACUUCAUAGGAAUUGGAAUAUUUUUGUUAAAACAAGUUUCAUCACAAUGAUUCUGCUGAAUGAUAAAGAUAAACACGUAACCGUGAGUGUGGAGGUGGAGUUAAUCACUCCAAAUUUUCCACUAAAAACAUCUCUCAGUUUCUGAGGCAAAACAACCCCCUUCAUUACAUCAUGUAGUAGCUUUGAUAAAAUGUCAGAAGCCCAAAGAGGAAACAGCUCGAGUGGAUUUUAGCUCUGCUUUGUUAUUGUUUUGCUCUGGCUCUGAACUUUUCACAUUCCUGUGAAAACAGACAUAUUCGGUUAUAAGUGGGCGUGUAAGCACAUUGUAUUGUUUCCAUGCUCACUAACACGUAUCCACAUUCAUGAAUCACUGUGCUUCUUUCACACACACACUUGAGAAAUAAUCUUUUCGGCCUAGCGAAUGAAUAAGAGAGAUUUCUGUUGUUUUCUUUUGCUGUUGCUGCAGUUUUAUACAGUGAAGCAACAACUCUGCCUCACUCAGGAUUACAGCAGAAGCAGGAGUCCUCUGUGAGAGCAUUGUUUUACCUUCUUUGCUUGUAAUUUCUACAGUUUCCAGGGUGACGGGUAUUAUUCUUUGUGUUGUAAGAGUUUUAGGACUCCGAGGCCUGAACUUUGUACUUAUUGUUAUUGGUAGCUUGUGAUUUUGGUGAUUAGGGAGUUUAAACAUCCUAACAUAGCUGUCAUUACAAAUUCCCCAGGAUAUGACUGUGCAGUGAGAUAUAAAAAAGAAAAUGUGAGGAAAAGAAACACACAUUUUCAUCUGUUUUGUUGUUUCUAGUACAUACAGGUGAAAGACAAAUUAAAGGGUUGAUGUAAAUAAAUGAAUUACUACCUUAUCUUCCAUUGCAAGAGAGUUUGCAGCAACACAAAAUAAAAGGUAAGAUAAGAUAACAAAUGAAACGUUUUAAAUCCAGAAGCAAAUUCUUGUGUCAGAUAUGGCUCAGAAAACCAAAUUACAUAGCAUGAGUAUAAAUGUGGUGCCUAAUAGAAAACAAAUAAUACUUUACUGUUAAAAAAGAGCUAAAAAUAACGCUGUAAUAGAAAAUAAGAAGUAAUACCAACUUGCAAUGACCAUCUUGAUCACACAUGCUAAUGAAAUAAUGCAUUCUAUAAAGAGAUAUUAUGCGUAAAAUGAAAGUAUAUGACACAUAAGAUUGAAAUAUGGUGCAUGAAGUUUAAGCAUAUUACACAUAAUGUUAAAAUAUUGCACCUGAAAAAUUUAAUAUUACACAUUAAGUUAAAAUGUUGCACAUACUACUGAAAUUGAAAUUGGACAUCAGAAAAUAAAGAUCAGGGAGCCAAAUGUCUUAGUAUAACAGUUGGAUUAUUAUUAUUAUUAUUAUUUUGCUUUAGUAUAUAUAUCCGGUCUGCAUACUUCCUAAACAGGGAUUUUCUUGGAAACUAAGGUGAGACCCUGUUAAACAAAAGGGUUUGUGUUAAUCUCAGGUUUACUGGCAUUUAGUGGUUGUUGCCAUUACUGGCUACACUGACAAGUAGUUUGUUCCUUUAGAGAAAUUGUCCCAAAAUAAUUAAAACUACAGUUUCCCCAAAUGCAAGUUACAUAAAUGGCCCAAAAUCCAAGGAACUAUAGUUUUCUAAUAUUGAACACAUGACCAGGAAAACCAGAAAACACAACCUAAAGCUAGUAGUUUAUGCAGUUAAAUCUCCUAGCAAGCAAAUAAUUAAUUCAUUGAGCAAUAAUCCUGCUCUGAAACUGACCUACAUUUUCUAAACUGAGACCUUAUUAUUUCCACCCACAGAGUGAAGUCAGUUCAGGUCCUACUGACACCUCUGAUUAUGUUUUGAUGAGCGGCAUUAUGCAUGUCAUUGUAAUGUAUGUGCGCUCAUCUAAUUACCUGAGGGUUUGAGCUUUUGAUGUUGGCUUUCCUCUGUAUCAACUGAACGUCUUCUGCCUGAGGAAGACUGACAAUCAUGUGUCAACACAGAGUAGCUGUCCAAGACGGUUUAGUGUUCACUGGGUCACGAAAUGUCAGUAAUUAUGUGAAUGCUGAGCACAAUAAUACAUCCACAAGAUAUUAUCUUUUGUUCUUUGACAGCUUAAAGCCAAAAAUGACUAAAUUAUAGAUGAUAAAUGCAGCUGUUUAUAAACCACCUGAUCCAGUUCAACGGUCACAAUGGGAAAUCUUGUCAGGUUUCCUUGCAAUGUCAACAACAUAACGCAAUAGGGAUCAUUUCAGUCAAAUCAGAGUUUUAGAAGAAUUUCUGCUUGACCAUCUCUGAUUUGCCUGAUUUUUUUUAUAGAAUAAAAACUGGAUCAUUUUAAAGAUAUUUGGGAAAUUUUAGCUUGAUACAGCAAUAUUUUGUGAGAUAGAUGUUGUUAAAAUUGUACAUCAACCCACUUUCAGCACGUUUGCACACACUGAAAUUUGUUUGAAAAAUAAUAUCUCAGCAACUAUUAAAUAUAAGCUUCAUAUUUCAACUCACCCACAAUCAGAGACUAUUUGAUUUAUUUGCCCAAUGUUGUAAUGAAUACUAAACUAAUAAAAUUAGGAGAAAUAACAGUGAAAUUUUCAUGCUUUUAUCUUUAAUAGUUCUUGAGAUAUUGCUGUUCAAAACAAUGCCUCAAAUUUCAAUGUCCAAAAAAAAAACCACUUGCUCAAGUGGGUCAGCAAGUGAUUUAAAGCAAAAGUUUUGCAAAGUAUUUGAUACAUCAAACUAUAAUUUCAAAAUUUUAAAUCCAUAGUUUCCGAAGAAAAAGUUACAGGCAAAUUAAACGUGGUUGAGUGGAAGGCUCCUGAUGAUUUGGGAUGAAUAACCCAUUAUUUUUGCAAACCUGUUUCUGCUUGUGAAGGGACUUGGACAGAGCAGAUGUUACACAAACAGGUGUAUCAGAGAUGAUUCCUGUGUGACGCCUCGCUGGCUUACUCGUCUGUUGACGUUGUAUUAGUCAGAAUAUUCGCUGUUAGUCUCGACUGUUGUGCCAAAAGCUUCAAAGGAAAGGAAUGAUUACUUUGGUGGUCUUGCGUCCUCCUGUGAGUUUCUGUCAGGUAACAGACACAUGUUAUAUAACCAUGAUAUUAUACGGUCAAAUGGUGUAAAAACAAAUCAAAAUCAGUAAAAUAUUCACGUGUCUGGGUUGCGACAGUAUCAAUACAAUGUCCUUACAGUGUUCUGUACAUUUUCUGGUUUAACUCACAUGCAGUGUUAUAUAAUCUCAGAAUGUUGUGUAAUAACUCGGCUAUGAGUUCCCCCAAAACGCUGCUUCUGAAGGAAUCCAUGAGGUAGCGAAAUAUGAUGAACAUGCAUACCUCAACAGAAAAGUGCAAGCAAUCACCUCCAAAUAUGCUCCAGACUUUAACUCGGAACUUGUUCUGAGAAUCGUGUAUAUUUGGAACUCAUGGGCUGCUUAUGUGGAUGAAAUGAGACACAGCUGAACUUUGAAAAAACGCACUCGAGAUGGGAAUUAAGUUUUAUUUAACACCGACUUUUAUUAGCAGUCAGACACGGUGGGGAAAAAUGUCCAGGUCAAGACUGAAAAGCCAAGUGUGUUUCUGUGGAAAUGGAGCCCAAUAAACCAGAAACCAUACUCAAGGUUCACGUGCAUAUUUCUUUUUUUCUUUUUUUUCUGUUUCAGGCUGGUCAGGUUGCCCUGAACCAACCCCUUGUACCCUUUUCUCUGGGGAAACCCUUUUUUUAGCAUGUGCUGAGUGAUGUUUGGUCAGUCUGUUUGUUGAUCGUGCACUCUCAAACCCCACAAUGCUUUGCUAAAGGCCAGAGGUCUCCCAGGUUGAGCUGCUGAAAGUGACCGUUGGCCAGGACCACAGGCCCCAAAAUACCGACGGCACAACGCCUGUCUUGUUGCUGAGGUGGUACGCUGAAAGUGGACCCAGCAGGUUGGACGGUGAUGCGCCGCAGCACAGCCUGGUAGUCUUCACCCUCAGACCAGAGUAAAUAAACACAACCAGCUACACAAACACUUUGGCUGGGGCUGGGAAAGCCCACGCACAGCCCGCUACUAAAGCAGAGUGUCUAAGUAUAGAGGGCUUGUUGGAGCUGAUGUUGCAACAUUGUUUUUACAGGGAGUUGUUUCCAGGUCCAUUUAGAGAGGAAUAAAAAGCCACAUUUGACUAAUAAAAACACGUCUAAUCCUGAAACUAUUGCAAGGCCUCUGCUGUGUGAGCUGUGUGCUACUCAAAGUUACGUUAGAUGUAUUCUCAUGGCAGAACGGAACAACUUUUUCAUGCAAUACUCCUCAAACUGACUGCUGUUUGAAUCUUAAAGGCCUCGAAAACCAUAGUUUCCAACAUCUUAUUUCUACUUGCACCAUGUUUCCAGAAAUUAAGUCAUAAUCCUUUGACAUUUUCCUUCUUUCUAUCCUUUACUAAAUGAAAAAGGAAUAAAAAUCUAACUGUGUAACUGCUUGCUGUGAGCUAGCUCAUGUUCUGAGCUGUUUUCCAUCUAUUCUGUUUUUUUUUGAGCGCCGCAUGAAAUUGCUUUUGUCAGACAGACCUUGUGAGUUGGCACCCGGACAUCACACAACUGUGUAAUUCAAUGAUUUGUCAGUUAAACAGUGGAUAUUAUAGCAAAUUUUCAGUCUUACUGUUCACCACUGAUUCAAUAAACUUCCUGAAAAUACUAAGCUCGGUCGUAUUGACGUUUCUCACACAGACACGAACAAUAAUUCUGCAAUAAUAAAUAUAAGAUGGAGGGAGAAGGUGGAAAAGUGGACCGACAAAUAUUACUCUGAAGAACUGGACAUUUCAAUCCAAGAUUCUUCUGAAUUAAAGCACUUCAUAAUGGUGGAUGGUCUUUGAGACAAACACAGGAAGACAUAAAGUGUUCUCAAAGUGUGGUCAAGUAUGCCUUGGACUCAAUUGCAGAGACUGGUACUCGCCAAGGAAGAGGCCGAAAAUGAAAGCUGACAGAAGCAGAUGUCGGGCACCUCAAGAUUUUAAGUACCAGAGACAGAAAGAA